rnacentral:rRNA from 1 species
UUCUGGUUGAUCCCGCCGGACCUGACUGCUAUCGGAUUGAUACUAAGCCAUGCGAGUCGUUGUAGCAAUACAAGGCAUACGGCUCAGUAACGCGUAGUCAACCUAACCUAUGGACGGGAAUAACCUCGGGAAACUGAGAAUAAUGCCCGAUAGAACAUUAUGCCUGGAAUGGUUUAUGUUCCAAAUGAUUUAUCGCCAUAGGAUGGGACUGCGGCCUAUCAGUUUGUUGGUGAGGUAAUGGCCCACCAAGACUAUUACAGGUACGGGCUCUGAGAGGAGUAGCCCGGAGAUGGGUACUGAGACACGGACCCAGGCCCUAUGGGGCGCAGCAGGCGAGAAAACUUUGCAAUGUGCGAAAGCACGACAAGGUUAAUCCGAGUGAUUUCUGCUAAAGAGAUCUUUUGUUAGUCCUAGAAACACUAACGAAUAAGGGGUGGGCAAGUUCUGGUGUCAGCCGCCGCGGUAAAACCAGCACCUCAAGUGGUCAGGAUGAUUAUUGGGCCUAAAGCAUCCGUAGCCGGCUCUGUAAGUUUUCGGUUAAAUCUGUACGCUCAACGUACAGGCUGCCGGAAAUACUGCAGAACUAGGGAGUGGGAGAGGUAGACGGUACUCGGUAGGAAGUGGUAAAAUGCUUUGAUCUAUCGAUGACCACCUGUGGCGAAGGCGGUCUACCAGAACACGUCCGACGGUGAGGGAUGAAAGCUGGGGGAGCAAACCGGAUUAGAUACCCGGGUAGUCCCAGCUGUAAACUAUGCAAACUCAGUGAUGCAUUGGCUUGUGGCCAAUGCAGUGCUGCAGGGAAGCCGUUAAGUUUGCCGCCUGGGAAGUACGUACGCAAGUAUGAAACUUAAAGGAAUUGGCGGGGGAGCACCACAAGGGGUGAAGCCUGCGGUUCAAUUGG